GCGAUUGCUGAAGGCGGCCCAAAUACGAACGUAGCUCGGCCUGUGCAGCGGAGACGAGAGGGAAAGCUGACGAGAUCUCAGAUCUGGGAAGAGGGGGCGGCGAAGGUGGUGGCCUCGUCGCGUCCACCGUCGGUACUUGCGCUAAGCCAGCCGGGAGCGCUCCCGCGAGAGGCGGGGCUUCGGGGCCGGCGGCGACCGCGCGGUGAUGCGGCGGCAGCCGCUUUGCGUCGGCCUCGCCCACCGCCGCCUCUACCAGGCGAUGCGGGAGCCGCCGCGGCCCGUAGUCUCGAGCAGUCUCCUGCGCUACGCCUAUGACCUCGUCCCCCGCAGCUUGGACGUCCCGCCGCCGCUCCCGCGGCGGCUCCGGCACUCGAACGAGUACGAGCGGUACAGGUGCGACGAUAUGUCCUCACCUUCUGCGCUUCUACGUUACCUUUUCGAGUUUCGUUGGGUCGUUCAGCGAGGAAGACGUCGAAAGUCUCAACGACGUACCCUUCGUGAUUACCCUUAAGCGUACCUUCGUUCGGUCCUACAGAGGAGUAGCUACAGGGGCUUACUAAGUCAACUAAACAGUUAGUUUCUUCUUCUUUAGUUUACCAGACUAGUCCUGGUAGACUUUAAAGCCCAACUACGUUAGUCUCCUGAACGACGAGAAGAUUUACCUCUCUAUCUGAGUCGGGUCUGCGAGAAACCACCCGGGUUGUCGACGAUACGACGUCAUCCGUUAUUGGUUUGUCUUUUACGACAGAAAUGUAUACCACUUAUAGACGUGACAUGACCCCUAAAAGGAAACCGUUGUGUUUACAUACUUUUCCAAGAACUCCGUCGUUCGUCUCUUCUAUAUAAACCUUUAGACAAUCGUCGACCUUUAUACCGAGGACUCCUCCAAAGAGACCCACGGUGAACGAGUAUGCCGGUCGAAAAUAGAGUUAGACCCUUCAAACUACUCCGUCUCCUGAUAGAGUGUUCUCGUGACGUCUUCCGACUUCUUGUUAAGCCAAGUUUAGUGGGUUUCCAACCAUACCAUAACUGAACACAUCGUUCUUACAUAUUUGACUUUCGUUUUAGACUUCCAAGAUCAAGUUAUUACCAAGUCCUCCCCGAUAUGUCCUUCCGAGAUCUUCAUAACUUUCGUGGACGGUAGUUGAGACUCCUGUGUUCUUCCGUCCAACUAACCUCUCUAUAGUAAAGGGAACGAUCUCCGCUCAUACGACUUGACAACGAAUAGGUCAGCUUAUCCUUCCGUCUUCCACUCGCUUACUUCCUCACCCGUCUCCUACGGACCUUCUUAGCAUCCAAUUGUAAUCGGGUUCGCAACCUCAAAAGUCUUCAUAGUUUCGGAUGUCACCAACUAUGGGCAUAGCCGUCCCACUAUAUCGAAGGUACUGUCAGACUCCUGUUUCCAUGAAUGAUACGUUAUUAGUCCCUUGCGAUGUGAUUACAUUAUAUCCAAGGGGUACCUAACGGAUGCGAAACGUACACAAAGACUCGAAACCACCUCUCCAUGGGAACGUUUAGGUUAUGUACUAGAAACAGUAGAACGGACCUUUUGGUGAGCUAACGACCGAACGAGCAAGUUUUAUCCGCUGUUGAGGGUAGACUUAGGUUGUGAAGAUCAUGUAACGAAAGUGAAGUGUUUCUAGGGCGCGGGGACGCGUAGGUGCGUGUUGUGUGGUUUGUAGU
rnacentral:rRNA from 1 species